CUUUCUCUUACAUUUAAUUUUUGUGUGUUUGGGUUUUUGAGUUUAAGCCACUUAGAAGGACAGCCUCAACUCAAAUGAACUGUUUCCCAAGGCUCCCCUUAAACUCCCUGUGUAUUCCAGGCUGCCAACUGCAGACUGCCAUUGCAUCCUGAAUAUAAUUAAAGAAGGACAUCACUGUUUCCAGCAUCAGAAUCUGUUCUUUGAGGAGGAGGACAUAUUUAAGGGUAAGAAGAUUAUGCAUGAGCACCACCCAUCCUGACUCUUGACCCCUUUAAGGAAUGCACUGGAGACUAAAUAAAUCUUAAAUAUUCAA